rnacentral:piRNA from 1 species
UCCCAAGCAGACUCAUUUCAGGGGAAGC